rfam:Myotis brandtii contig158617, whole genome shotgun sequence.
CUGUCUCUUGCUUCAACAGUGUUUCGACGGAACAG